GUUCGGAUUGUAGUCUGCAACCCGACUACAUGAAGCUGGAAUCGCUAGUAAUCGCGGAUCAGAAUGCCGCGGUGAAUACGUUCCCGGGUCUUGUACACACCGCCCGUCACACCAUGGGAGUCGGAAAUGCCCGAAGUCAGUGACCCAACCGUAAGGAGGGAGCUGCCGAAGGUGGAGCCGGUAACUGGGGUGAAGUCGUAACAAGGUAGC
rnacentral:rRNA from 1 species